rfam:Parcubacteria bacterium GW2011_GWA2_45_14 TW94_C0015, whole genome shotgun sequence.
GGGGGUAUGGUGAAAUGGCUAUCAUUACGGUCUCCAAAACCGUCGUUUCAGGUUCGAGUCCUGAUACCCCUG